GAUGAGGUUGACUGAGAAGAUGAGAGCUGCAGUGUGUAUGUGUGUGUGUGUGUGAGCUGAUGAGGUUGACUGAGAAGACGAGAGCUGCAGUGUGUAUGUGUGUGUGUGUGUGUGUGUGUGUGUGUGUGAGCUGAUGAGGUUGACUGAGAAGAUGAGAGCUGCAGUGUGUAUGUGUGUGUGUGCGAGCUGAUGAGGUUGACUGAGAAGAUGAGAGCUGCAGUGUGUAUGUGUGUGUGUGUGCGAGCUGAUGAGGUUGACUGAGAAGACGAGAGCUGCAGUGUGUAUGUGUGUGUGUGUGUGUGUGUGUGUGUGUGUGUGUGUGAGCUGAUGAGGUUGACUGAGAAGACGAGAGCUGCAGUGUGUGUAUGUGUGUGUGUGUGUGUGUGUGUGUGUGUGUGAGCUGAUGAGGUUGACUGAGAAGACGAGAGCUGCAGUGUGU
ensembl:lncRNA